rnacentral:snRNA from 2 species
AUACCUUUCUCGGCCUUUUGGCUAAGAUCAAGUGUAGUAUCUGUUCUUAUCAGUUUAAUAUCUGAUAUGUGAGGUCUCGUCCUCACAACGGUAUUAAAUUUAUUUUUUUAAAGGGGGAGUGCCUGGCAUGGUAGCUUGCUACUUGGGUUCUCAAGCGUCGCCCUAGCAUUGCACUGUUGCUUGGACUUGGCGCACCCCAA